rnacentral:rRNA from 1 species
UUUGAUUCUUCGGAUGAAGAUCUUGGUGACUGAGUGGCGGACGGGUGAGUAACGCGUGGGUAACCUGCCUCAUACAGGGGGAUAACAGUUAGAAAUGACUGCUAAUACCGCAUAAGCGCACAGGACCGCAUGGUCCAGUGUGAAAAACUCCGGUGGUAUAAGAUGGACCCGCGUUGGAUUAGCUGGUUGGUGGGGUAACGGCCUACCAAGCCGACGAUCAGUAGCCGACCUGAGAGGGUGACCGGCCACAUUGGGACUGAGACACGGCCCAAACUCC